ensembl:lncRNA
UUUUUUUUUUUUUUCCCCCUUUCUUUCUUUUUCUUUUUUUUUUAAAGCGGGGAAAUCAUAUCCCCUGGAAGAGCAGCCUUCCAAAGCAUAGGCCUUAGACCGAGGGAUAGAUGGUCUCUCACCAUGGACAGCCUCAAUUUGAACACAGUCUGGGUAGGAUAUGGAAGAAUGACCCAUGCCCUGGUUGUCCUGCUCCAGGAUGCUUUUUCUAAGCUCCCUAGUUAGGCCCUGUCAGAGGCCUGCCCCUCCCCAACACAGCUUCAUACUAAGUCGCACCACCCUUGCUUCCUGAGCUGUUUCUCCUUUUCCUCACCCUGGGAGACUCCAAAGCCAUAAUUUCUGCAAGAGGAAAAGAGCGAAUCCUAAAGACAACCCUUGUAGGGGCGCCUUUCUAGUGCCAGCUUGCUCUCCCAGUUACCUGAGAGGCUGAGGCAGGAUAUUUGCAAGCUCAAGACCUGCCUGGGUUGCAGAGUGAGCUCAAAGCCAGCCUGAGUAAUUUAUCGAGACGCUGUUUCAAAAUAAAGGCAGUUCAAAGUACCACGAAGAUAAAAUGUGUGUAGGGAGACCUUUGCUCACACAGGAGGUGGCUCACCGGAAGACCUGAGGGUCUUUGGAGAAAUCUAAGGCAAUACGGUGGGUGAAGGCAGAGUGUUACCCUGGAUAAAGGUCUCACCGAAGUAAGCAGGAGGUGAGUUGAGCCUAGGAAAGGAUGAGAAGUGUGUCAGGAGAGGAGCACGUUUACAAAUCUACAAAAUCUGCACACAGGAGCACGUUGAGUAUGGCUUUGGGAAGAGAUAGGAAGAUAGGAGAGGGUUGAAAUGGAAUAAGAAAGAAAUGCCCUCAUUAGCCACACAAAGAAAUUCAAGACAAGAGUUCCGCUUUGGUAAGAUCUCAGGACAGCAGGACAGUCUCUGGAUCUGGAGGGCAGUCAGUUCUAGAAAGUGUUCCAAAGAGAAGUAAGCCGGACUGGAUUCUCUCUUCCAGGAUCUGGGAACUGCCUUCUGGGAAGUCUUGUUUUCCGAGCCCAGAAAAUUAGCGUUCCAGCAGGAGGCAGCAGCGAGCUGUGCAGGGCUGGCCGCAGGAAGGGAGAAAGCAAGGUGCUAAAAAGGCCAGGCCUCUGGUAGCGAUCCCUAGCCGGAAACUGGGGAAGUAGGGCCUGCUGGCUUGCUCACCCUAACUCCCUCUCAGCUGCUUCUAGCAUGGAUCUUUCCCUAAUGUAAAACUGUAGAGCUUGCCUCCCUAAGUUCCUUGCUUUUGUGGGCACCUUUAUCUGAAAGUUAGGGAGGGUGGGGUGCUGCUUCUUGUCCAAGGCUUGAUUUCUAUAGUUACUGACCAGGUUUUCUCCUGAGGACACAUUGAUUCCCCCUUUAAAGGCUGGUCAGGAGCAAAGGCAACACCUCCCCCAAAUGAUAGCUACAGGCUACUUCCUUCUCCCCAACGACACAUCUUCCCUGCUUUUUAGAAUUGCAGCUAAUUGAUUAUUUUUUUUGGGGGGGGAUGGAAACCACAAACCUUUUAUACAAUACGAAGCUUUGCUUUUUAUUUUUUAUUUUUAAUUUUCCUUUAUUUUUCUUGGUCCCCUUCCCUCCUCCGAUUGAAGACAGAUAAGCUGAGGAGGGUGGGCAGAUGCAGGAUGAGGUCCCCUGUGCUGAUGGGCUAUCACUGUGGGCAGAUACAGUUUCCUGUGGGCUCUAGGGAAGCUCCUCGAGUUGCUGUGUUCUGGUGAGCAGCCGGACCAAUAAACCUGCUUUU